rnacentral:ncRNA from 1 species
CAAAGUUCUCAGGGCGGGGUGAAAGUCCCCACCGGCGGUGAUGAUGGCUGAAUAAAAUUCAGUCAUCUAAGCCCGCGAGCGCUCAAGACUGUUGUUUUUUAUUUCUUGAGGUCAGCAGAUUCGGUGAGAAGCCGAAGCCGACGGUGAUAGUCCGGAUGAAAGAGAACGGUA